rnacentral:rRNA from 1 species
AACGAACGCUGGCGGCAGGCCUAACACAUGCAAGUCGAACGAACCCUUCGGGGUGAGUGGCGCACGGGUGCGUAACACGUGGGAAUAUACCCUUCAGUAAGGAACAACACAGAGAAAUUUGUGCUAAUACCUUAUAAUGACUCCGGUCCAAAGAUUUAUCGCUGAAGGAUUAGCCCGCGUCUGAUUAGAUAGUUGGUGAGGUAAGAGCUCACCAAGUCGACGAUCAGUAGCUGGUUUGAGAGGAUGAUCAGCCACACUGGAACUGAGACACGGUCCAGACUCCUACGGGAGGCAGCAGUGAGGAAUAUUGCGCAAUGGGGGAAACCCUGACGCAGCCAUGCCGCGUGAGUGACGAAGGCCUUAGGGUUGUAAAGCUCUUUCAGAUGCGAAGAUAAUGACGGUAACAUCAGAAGAAGCUCCGGCUAAAUUCGUGCCAGCAGCCGCGGUAA